rnacentral:rRNA from 1 species
CGAGUUUGAUCAUGGCUCAGGAUGAACGCUAGCGGCAGGCUUAACACAUGCAAGUCGAGGGGUAUAGUUCUUCGGAAUUAGAGACCGGCGCACGGGUGCGUAACGCGUAUGCAAUCUACCUUUCACAAAGGGAUAGCCCAGAGAAAUUUGGAUUAAUACCUUAUAGUAAUACGACUUGGCAUCAAGAUGUAUUUAAAGAUUUAUCGGUGAAAGAUGAGCAUGCGUCCCAUUAGCUUGUUGGUAAGGUAACGGCUUACCAAGGCAACGAUGGGUAGGGGUCCUGAGAGGGAGAUCCCCCACACUGGUACUGAGACACGGACCAGACUCCUACGGGAGGCAGCAGUGAGGAAUAUUGGACAAUGGGCGCAAGCCUGAUCCAGCCAUGCCGCGUGCAGGAUGACGGUCCUAUGGAUUGUAAACUGCUUUUGUACAGGAAGAAACCCUUUCACGUGUGGAAGAUUGACGGUACUGUAAGAAUAAGGAUCGGCUAACUCCGUG